UACGAAGGGGGCUAGCGUUGCUCGGAAUUACUGGGCGUAAAGGGCGCGUAGGCGGAUAGUUCAGUUGGGGGUGAAAGCCCGGGGCUCAACCUCGGAACUGCCUUCAAUACUGGCUAUCUUGAGUACGGGAGAGGUGUGUGGAACUCCGAGUGUAGAGGUGAAAUUCGUAGAUGUUCGGAAGAACACCAGUGGCGAAGGCGACACACUGGCCCGUUACUGACGCUGAGGCGCGAAAGCGUGGGGAGCAAACAGG
rnacentral:rRNA from 1 species